rnacentral:rRNA from 1 species
GAUGAACGCUGGCGGCGUGCUUAACACAUGCAAGUCGAACGAAGCACUUUAUUUGAUUUCCUUCGGGACUGAUUAUUUUGUGACUGAGUGGCGGACGGGUGAGUAACGCGUGGGUAACCUGCCUUGUACAGGGAGAUAACAGUUGGAAACGGCUGCUAAUACCGCAUAAGCGCACAGCAUCGCAUGAUGCAGUGUGAAAAACUCCGGUGGUAUAAGAUGGACCCGCGUUGGAUUAGCUAGUUGGUGAGGUAACGGCCCACCAAGGCGACGAUCCAUAGCCGACCUGAGAGGGUGACCGGCCACAUUGGGACUGAGACACGGCCCAAACUCCUACGGGAGGCAGCAGUGGGGAAUAUUGCACAAUGGGCGAAAGCCUGAUGCAGCGACGCCGCGUGAGCGAAGAAGUGUUUCGGUAUGUAAAGCUCUAUCAGCAGGGAAGAUAAUGACGGUACCUGACGAAGAAGCACCGGCUAAAUACGUG